AACGAACGCUGGCGGCAUGCCUAACACAUGCAAGUCGAACGAAGGCUUCGGCCUUAGUGGCGCACGGGUGCGUAACGCGUGGGAAUCUGCCCCUCGGUUCGGAAUAACAGUUAGAAAUGACUGCUAAUACCGGAUGAUGACUGCGGACGAAAGAUUUAUCGCCGGGGGAUGAGCCCGCGUAAGAGUAGGUAGUGGGUGGGGUAAAGGCCUACCAAGCCGACGAUCUUUAGCUGGUCUGAGAGGAUGAUCAGCCACACUGGGACUGAGACACGGCCCAGACUGCUACGGGAGGCAGGAGUGGGGAAUAUUGGACAAUGGGCGAAAGCCUGAUCCAGCAAUGCCGCGUGAGUGAUGAAGGCCUUAGGGUUGUAAAGCUCUUUUACCAGGGAUGAUAAUGACAGUACCUGGAGAAUAAGCUCCGGCUAACUCCGUGCCAGCCGCCGCAGUAA
rnacentral:rRNA from 1 species